rnacentral:rRNA from 1 species
CGGAGGGCGUAGCGUUGUUCGGAAAGUAACUGGGCGGUAAAGACGCACGUAGGCGGCUCAGCAAGUCAGAGGUGAAAUACCCCACGGGCGUCAACCCUGGAACUGCCUUUGAAACUGCUAGGCUAGAAUCUUGGAGAGGUCAGUGGAAUUCCGAGUGUAGAGGUGAAAUUCGUAGAUAUUCGGAAGAACACCAGUGGCGAAGGCGACUGACUGGACAAGUAUUGACGCUGAGGUGCGAAAGCGUGGGAGCAAAACAGGAUU